AUUGAACGCUAGCGGCAGGCCUAACACAUGCAAGUCGAACGAGUGGCGGACGGGUGAGUAAUGUCUGGGAAACUGCCUGAUGGAGGGGGAUAACUACUGGAAACGGUAGCUAAUACCGCAUACCAUCAGAUGUGCCCAGAUGGGAUUAGCUUGUUGGUGGGGUAACGGCUCCCCAAGGCGACGAUCCCUAUCUGGUGUGCGAGGAUGACCAGCCACACGUGAACUGGGACACGGUCCAGACUCCUACGGUAGGCAGCAGUGGGGACUAUUGCACAAUGGGCGCAAGCCUGAUGCAGCCAUGCCGCGUGUAUGAAGAAGGCCUUCGGGUUGUAAAGUACUUUCAGCGGGGAGGCGUUACCCGCAGAAGAAGCACCGGCUAACUCCGUGCCAGCCGCCGCGGUAAUUC
rnacentral:rRNA from 1 species